CAUUGGGACACAGAAGACUGUGGAGCCCUGGCAGUGGUGUGGGCUGGUGCGCUCAAUGAAGAAUAAUCAUGGGCCAGACAGGGAAGAAAUCUGAGAAGGGAGCUGCUUGUUGGCGGAAGCGUGUAAUAUCAGAAUACAUGUGACUGAGAGCGCAAGAGGUUCAGACAGACUGAUGAAAUAAAGAGUAUAUUUAGUUCUAAUUAUCAAAAAUUUUGAAAAGAAUAGAAAUCUUAAAUCAAAAAUGGAAACAAUGAAGGACACAGCCCAUGCACAUCUUGACCGCUGUGAGAUCACUGUGCCAGAUUAGGGAGUGUUCAGUGACAUGACUUGGAUUUUCCAACACAAGUUGUCCUAUUAAAGACCCAGAAUGCAGUUCGCCUGAGUCCCAUAAUGUACUCUUGGUCUCCCCUCCGAAACAAUUUUAUGGUAGAAGAGGAAACUGUUUCACAUAACAUUCCUUACAUGAGGAUGAAGUUCUAGACCAGGGUGGUACUUUCAUUGAGGAACUAAUAAAAAACCAUGAUGGCAAAGUCCAUGGAGAUUGAGAGAGUGAGUUUAUAAACGAUGAAAUUUUUGUGCAGUUGGUGAAUGCUCUGAGUCAGUACAAUGAUGAUGGUGAUGAGGAUGACGGGGACAAGCCCGAGGAUGGAGAAGAAAAGUAAAAGGAGCUGGAGCAUCGCCGGUAUGAUAAAGAAAGCUGACCACCUUGGAAACUUCCUUCUGAUAAAAAUUUUGAAGGCAUUUCCUCAAUGUUUCCAGCUAAGGCACAGCAAAAGAACUAAACGAAAAAUAUAAAGAACUCACCAAGCAGCAGCUCCCAGGUGCAUUUCCUCCCAAAUUACCCCCAACAUGGACGGACCAAACACUAAGUGUGCAGAAGGAGCAGGGCUUACAUUCAUUUCAUACACUUUUCUGUCAGCGAUGUUUUAAAUACGACUGCUUCCUACAUCCUUUUCAUGUAAUACCCAAUAUACACAAUCAGAAAAACACAGAAGCAGCUCUGGGCAAUAAGCCUUGUGGACCACAAUGUUAGCAGCACUUGGAGGGAGUGAAGGAGUUUGCUGCUGCCCUCAAUGCUGAGCAGAUAAAGACCCCACUCAAGCACCCCCAGAGCAGCAGGAAAGGUGGUCUCCCAAACAACAGCAGCAGGCUCAGCACCCCCACCAUCAGCGUGCUGGAGUCCAAGAACACUGACAGUGACAGAGAGGCAGGGACUGAAACGGGGCAAAAGAACAAUGAUAAAGAGGAGGGGGAAAAGAAGGAUGAAACCUCAAACUCCUUCAAAGCAAAUUCUCAGUGUCAAACCCAGUGAAGAUGAAUCCAAAUAUUGAACCUCCUGAGAAUGUGGAGCGGAGCUGAAGCCACAAUGUUUUGCAUCCUCAUCGGCACUUACUGUGAUAAUUUCUGUGCUAUUGCCAGGUUGACUGGGACCAAAACAUGCAGACAGGUGUACGAGUUCAGAGUCAAGGAGUCCAGCAUCAUCGCACCUGCUCCUGCUGAGGAGGCCAACACCACUCCAUGACAAAAGAGGAAACAUAGGCUGUGUGCUGCAUACCGCAGAAAGAUACAGCUGAAAAGGACGGCUCUUCUAACCAUGUUCACAACUAUCAACCCUGUGACCAUCCAUGGCAGUCUUGUGACAAUUCGUGCCCUUGUGUGAUAGCACAGAAUUUUUGUGAAAAGUUUUGUCAGUGUAGUUCAGAGUGUCAGAAGCGCUUUCCCGGAUGCCGCUGCAAAGCACAGUGCAACAGCAAGCAGAGCCCAUGCUACCUAGCAGUCUGCAAGUGUGACCCAGACCUAUGCCUGAUGUGUGGAGCUGCAGACCAUUUGGGACAGCAAAAAUGUGUCCUGCAAGAACUGCAGCACCCAGAGGGUCUCCAAAAGUCAUGCAUUGCUGGCACCAUCAGAUAUAGCAGGCUGAAGGAUUUUAUCAAAGAUCCUGUACAGAAAAAUGAAUUCAUCUUGAGUACUGUGGGGAGAUUAUUUCUCCAGAUGAAGCAGACAGAAGAGGCAAGGUGUAUGAUAAACACAUGUGCAACUUCCUGUUCAAUUUGACCAACAAUUUUGUGGUGAACGCAACCCACAAGGGUAACAAAAUUCGUUUUGCGAAUCACUCCAUUAAUUCGAACUGCUAUUCAAAAGUCAUGAUGGUGAACAGCGACCAAAGGAUCGGCAUCUUUGCCAAGAAGGCCAUCCAGACCGGCAAAGAGAUAUUCUUCAAUUAUAGGUACAGCCCGGCCGAUGCCCUGAAGUACAUGGGCAUCGAGGGGGAGAUGGAAAUCCCCUAA